rnacentral:rRNA from 1 species
CGCGUGUACUGGUCCGGCCGGGCCUUUCCCUCUGUGGAACCCCAUGCCCUUCACUGGGCGUGGCGGGGAAACAGGACUUUUACUGUGAAAAAAUUAGAGUGCUCCAGGCAGGCCUAUGCUCGAAUACAUUAGCAUGGAAUAAUAGAAUAGGACGUGUGGUUCUAUUUUGUUGGUUUCUAGGACCGCCGUAAUGAUUAAUAGGGACAGUCGGGGGCAUCAGUAUUCAAUUGUCAGAGGUGAAAUUCUUGGAUUUAUUGAAGACUAACUACUGCGAAAGCAUUUGCCAAGGAUGUUUUCAUUAAUCAGGAACGAAAGUUAGGGGAUCGAAGACGAUCAGAUACCGUCGUAGUCUUAACCAUAAACUAUGCCGACUAGGGAUCGGACGAUGUUAUAUUUUGACUCGUUCGGCACCUUACGAGAAAUCAAAGUGCUUGGGCUCCAGGGGGAGUAUGGUCGCAAGGCUGAAACUUAAAGAAAUUGACGGAAGGGCACCACCAGGGGUAAACCUAGCUGGUUUUCACAAGCCGCAGUUAACUCUGCUCCUAAAAGCCGCCCGAAAGGGUCAGUGGUGUUCCAUGGUCCCCGAGGCCUAAAUUAAUGGCUAGUCUCCCCCCGCGGAGGCGACACCCUCAAAUUGCGGGAAACUCCUAAAGCCUUCACUCCGAAGCCGCGUACUGAAAAGUCGCGCGUGGCCAGGUUAAUAGCCUCGGGUACCGGAAAAACGUGAAGGAUGCCACAAUGGACAAUCCGCAGCCAAGCCCCUAAGGUAUCAGGCGACAGCAUGCUGUCACCGGGUAUACGGGGAAGGUUCAGAGACUUGACGGGGGUGGGUUGGCUAAUUUCAAUAUGGCCGGCCUAAGGUAAAGUCCGUCCCUGCGUGAAAGCGCAGUGGGUUUUCAUACUGCUUCUGCAGAGACAUUCGAUCUGCAUCGAAGGCCCCAAGUAAACGGGAGCCUGCGGCUUAAUUUGACUCAACACGGGGAAACUCACCAGGUCCAGACACAAUGAGGAUUGACAGAUUGAGAGCUCUUUCUUGAUUUUGUGGGUGGUGGUGCAUGGCCGUUCUUAGUUGGUGGAGUGAUUUGUCUGCUUAAUUGCGAUAACGAACGAGACCUUAACCUGCUAAAUAGCCCGUAUUGCUUUGGCAGUACGCUGGCUUCUUAGAGGGACUAUCGG